AUUGAACGCUGGCGGCAGGCCUAACACAUGCAAGUCGAGCGAGCGGCGGACGGGUGAGUAAUGUAUGGGGACUGCCCGAUAGAGGGGGAUAACUACUGGAAACGGUAGCUCAUACCGCAUACUAUCGGAUAACCCAUAUGGGAUUCGCUAGUUGGUUAGGUAAUGUCUCACCAAGGCUACGAUCCCUAGCUGGUCUGAGAGGCUGCUCAGCCACACUGGGACUGAGACACGGACCAGACUCAUGCGGAGGCAGCAGUGGGGAAUAUUGCAACAUGGGAGCAAGCCUGAUGCAGCCAUGCCGCGUGUAUGAAGAAGGCCCUAGGGUUGUAAAGUACUUUCAGUCGGGAGGCGUUACCGACAGAAGAAGCACCGGCUAACUCCGUGCCAGCAGCCGCGGUAAUAC
rnacentral:rRNA from 1 species